rnacentral:rRNA from 1 species
GGGGGCAAUAUUGGUCAAUGGGCGAGAGCCUGAACCAGCCAUGCCGCGUGCAGGAUGAAGCAUCUAUGGUGUGUAAACUGCUUUUGUACGGGAAAAAACACCGCUACGUGUAGCGGCUUGACGGUACCGUAAGAAUAAGGAUCGGCUAACUCCGUGCCAGCCCCCGCGGCUAAAGUAAUAAAA